GACGAACGCUGGCGGCGUGCUUAACACAUGCAAGUCGAACGGUAAGGCCCUUCGGGGUACACGAGUGGCGAACGGGUGAGUAACACGUGGGUGAUCUGCCCUGCACUUCGGGAUAAGCCUGGGAAACUGGGUCUAAUACCGGAUAGGACCACUGCCUGCAUGGGUGGUGGUGGAAAGCUUUUGCGGUGUGGGAUGGGCCCGCGGCCUAUCAGCUUGUUGGUGGGGUGAUGGCCUACCAAGGCGACGACGGGUAGCCGGCCUGAGAGGGUGACCGGCCACACUGGGACUGCGAUACGGCCCAGACUCCUACGGGAGGCAGCAGUGGGGAAUAUUGCACAAUGGGCGCAAGCCUGAUGCAGCGACGCCGCGUGAGGGAUGACGGCCUUCGGGUUGUAAACCUCCUUCAGCACCGACGAAGCGCAAGUGACGGUAGGUGCAGAAGAAGGACCGGCCAACUACGUGCCAGCCGCCGCGGUAA
rnacentral:rRNA from 1 species